ensembl:lncRNA
GACUGUCGAACUGACAGGUAGGCCUGUCUCACAGCUGGCCCGACAAAAGCAAAGACAGUGUGUGAGAACACACAGCUGUGCUUAGAGAUGCAUUCCUGCCUAAUUAAAACAGGUCAAGAGAGCUGGCUGUCAUCCAUCCAUCCAAAAAAAAAAAAAGCCUAAGAUAUAAAGUAACUGAGGAACAUGCCUGUCCUGGUUUCCCGGCUGCAUUG